rnacentral:lncRNA from 1 species
UUUUUUUUUUUUUUUUUGCCUUUUCUAGGGCCGCUCCCACGGCAUAUGGAGGUUCCCAGGCUAGGGGUCGAAUCGGAGCUGUAGCCACUGGCCUACACCACAGCCACAGCAACCUGGGAUCCAAGCCACGUCUGCAACCUACACUACAGCUCACGGCAACGCCGGAUCCUUAACUCACUGAGAGAGGCUAGGGAUCGAACCCGCAACCUCAUGGUUCCCAGUGGGAUUCGUUAACCACUGAGCCACGAUGGGAACUCCCUCUUUUCUUUCUUUCUUUCCUUCCUUCCUUAAUGCCUUCCCUUCUUUCUUUCCUUCUUUCUCCCCCCUCCCUUCUGUCUUUGCAGCUGAGACUCUGUAUCAACUGCUUUGGGUCCUAAAAGUUCAUGUCCUUGGAGGGAAAAGAGAGACAAGCCAUGUGGGGAUGCAGGUCCCCUGGUGUGGCCUCAUAAACCCCUAUUUCCAUUCAUAUUUCAUGACCACAAAAUGUGAGGUCCUUGAAAGUCAUUGUCGUAUGAUGGAUAAAAGCCCUGGUCUUCAUUGCUCGAAAGUGCACAUUCGCUAGAAAGGAAAGGGCCUUUUCUUGGGAGCUUGCACACCUUCUGAGCAGCAGGCCAGGGGAUGUGAAAAAACAGGACAAGGGCGGCAGCAUUUUAUUAAGUUCUAGGGGGCUUUCAGAUACGAUGCCCUCUCCUUCCCCAACUUCCCUAAAUUGUAUAUGGAAACACAUUCCCAUUUGGCAAAUGUGUGCAGAGGUUAAACCAGCCACAGAUAAGGAAACGGAGACAAACGGGAGUCCCAAAGCUGGUAAGUGGGAAACCUAAGAUCUGAAUCCAGUUCCAUGGGAUCCAGCGUCUUCCCUGAGCUAAACCAAUAAGCUUCAGAUUAUGCAAAAACAUGUUUUCAAACAUGUACAAUAAACUUUAUUUUAUAUAUAUAUAUACACACACAUGCAUACAUAUAUGUCUAUAUGCUAUAUAUGUAUAUAUGUGCAUAUAUUAAAGUAUAGUUGAUUUGCAAGUUUGUAUGAAUUUCAAGUGAACAACAGAGCGAUUCAGAUAUACUCUUUUUCAGAUUCUUUUCCCUUAUAGAUUAUUACAAAAUAUUGCGAAGAGGUCCCUGUGCGAUAGAGCAGGUCCUUAUUAGGUUAUCUGUUUUAUAUAUCAUAGUGUGUGUAUGUUAACCCCAAACUUCCACUUUAUCCCUCUCCCACUUCCCCCUUUGGUAACCAUGUUUGUUUUCUAUGUCUGUGGAUCUAUUUCUAUUUUGUACAUAAGUUCUCUUGUAUCAUUUUUUCUUAGAUUCCCUGUAUAAGCAAUAUCAUGACGCUAUUGGUCUUUGUCUGGCUUCCUUCACUGAGCAUGCUAGUCCCUAGGUCCGUCCACGUUGCCGCAAAUGGCCUCAUUUCCUUCCUUUUUAUGGCAGAGUAAUAGUCCACUGUGUAUAUGUACCACCUCUUCUUAUCCACUCCUCUGUGGAUGGACAUUCAGGUGACUUCCAGAGAUUGUGACACCUAGAAAACGGCAGUUAUAAACACAAAUACCCCCAGGAGCCUGUGCAGGACAAAUGAGGGAGAAGCAGGCUGGGAGAAGCACAGUAGAAAGGGGAUCCAUGAGCACAGGCUCUUUUGAAAAGGGGCAGUUACUCAUCUGCCCCUAUUGGUAAUUGCCCUAAUAAUUAUUGAUGAUAGAUAGAUAGAUAGAUGAUAGAUAGAUAAUGAUUGAUGAUAGAUAGAUGAUUGAUGGAUAGAUAGAUGACUGACAGAUAGAUAAUGAUUGAUGAUUGAUAGAUAAUGAUUGACGAUAGAUAGAUGAUUGAUAGAUAAUGAUUGACGAUAGAUAGAUAGAUGAUUGAUGGAUAGAUAGAUAGAUAGAUAGAUGAUAGAUGAUAGAUGAUUGACAGAUAAUGAUUGAUGAUAUAGAUGAUUGAUAGACAGAUAAUGAUUGACGAUAGAUGAUUGAUAUAUGAUAGAUGGAUAGAUACAUAGAUGAUUGAUAGAUAAUGAUUGACGAUAGAUAGAUAGAUGAUUGAUGGAUAGAUAGAUGAUAGAUGGAUAGAUAGAUAGAUAGAUAGAUAGAUAGACUGACAGACAGCUAGAUAACCAACCUCUGUAGGAACCAGAGAUGUACUGAAGCCUCAUUUAACCUAAUGGUUCUGAUUUUGGCCUCCAGGAGACAUCUGUCCAUGUCUGGAGACACUCUGGCUUGUCACAACCAAGGACAAGAGAUGCUAUUCUCCUCCAGUUCUAGAGGCCACGGAUGCUUGUCAAUAUCCUCCCAUCUGUAAGGACAGCUCCCAUCAUGCAGAUCUAGCUCCCAAAUGGCCACCGUGCCAACGUCAGGAAAUUCUGGUUUAACUUCUGGUCCCUCCAGCUCCGAUUUCUAGUUUAAAGAUUUCUCUCCAUCCUCCACGUUCCUCAUCCCUCACGGCAAACAUCCGACCACAGGGGUGGCGUGAUACUGACUUGCUUUUUCUUUGGUUCGCCUUGUUCCAGACCCAGGCUAAUUCUUACCCACGCGGAAGGUCCUGCGUUAUACUUGAAAAUCCAGCUUCAUGGUCAAGUGUAUAAGAAACAGGAGCAAUUCAACUCCAGUCAAUAACGUAAACAAAGCCCAGUGGAGAUAAACCCCAUUACCAGGCCCGAAGUGGCCCAGGGCACCUCUGCUCCUGCUGAUUAGCGUAAAUGCUAAACACAAGCCAAUUAACACACUCUAAGGCUGCUUAUCUCCUGUCACUUCUCGUGGAAAUAAAGUGCAGUGCUAAAUACACAUAUUGAUUUAGCCAUUAAAGCCAGCAUCACUCAAAAUAAAACUCAUUAUGUUAUUGGGUAACAGCAAAGUCACCAUAGUUUUCAGGAUGGGCCGUGUGAUGAAGAAAUUUCACGCUUACAUUUUUCGAUUGCUUUCCCAAACCAUCCUGAGCCCCUCCUCCUAGUCUGUGUCAUCACCAAGCCUAGAAAGUAGAAUUCUGCCUUCACCUUUACGUGAUCUUUGCUUUUAGCCCUAAAAACGGACGUGCAUAAGAGGGUCCUUUGUCUUUAAAGUGUUAUUUCAGCACAGACAAGGAAAUUGUAUGCUUGAAAGGAAGGGAAUUAAACAGGAAGAUGAACUGGGAUAUUAAACAACAAAUACAAAAGAAAAAAAAAUCACAGGCAUUAUAAUAAAAACGGGUUAACUUUGAACAUGAACCAUAGGCACUGAUCCGAUGCUUAUGGGCCAAAAAAAAAAAAAAAGGCAGAAAUAUCUUCCUAGUUGAGGGGUACACAGGACUGAGUUAUCUGAAAAAAAAACUUUCUCAUGAAAUCACUUCGAAUAGAUAUUUUAAUUUAUUCUGCAUUAGAGACCAAGUGCCACAUAGCACGUCCUAGCAUUUUGGCAGCCAUCCCAUUUUACCAAGAUGAUUUAAAUCUCCCCCAUGGGAAACCAAGCCCCAGUGAACGCUUUGUCGCAUUGACCUUCAUUUUCCAGAUGCUAAUGUGGGGUGUGGCAGGUAGGGGACCUUCUUCCAUGGCUGUGAUCGGUCUCCAGAAAUGCCUGCUUCCACAAAUGCCCAAAGAAGUUAAGGAUCUACUUCUAGGGUUUAUGUUCCCACAGAUUUCAUUUGAGGGCUCUUUCCCCUUUAUUUCUGAUGGACAAGGUUGGACCCAUGAUCUGAGCCCUUGUCAAUACCUCUCUGCCAAACACCGUCUGUAUUACAGCAUCUUUGUCGAAUACGAAAUAACCAGUUUAUUUAUCCGCUGCUCUUAAUACAUGGUUCUGGUGUGUUACAAAUCAAUGAUGGAAAAAGAAGGGUACUUACAGCUCAGGGAAGUAUACAUAAUCCAUAGACUCUCCUAUUUAUUCAACACACCUUAUCGAUGGAAAUCUGUUAUACUCAGGAAUAUUAUUUGUCAGGCUGGCCAGAACCC